GACAGAGGGUGCAAACGUUGCUCGGAAUCAUUGGGCGUAAAGCGCACGUAGGCGGCCUCAAAAGUCGGAUGUGAAAUCCCGUGGCUCAACCAUGGACGUGCAUUCGAAACUGCGAGGCUUGGGUAUGGAAGAGGGUCGCGGAAUUCCCGGUGUAGAGGUGAAAUUCGUAGAUAUCGGGAGGAACACCAGUGGCGAAGGCGGCGACCUGGGCCAAUACUGACGCUGAGGUGCGAAAGCGUGGGGAGCAAACAGG
rnacentral:rRNA from 1 species